rnacentral:rRNA from 1 species
UACAGAGGUGGCAAGCGUUGUUCGGAAUUACUGGGCGUAAAGGGCGCGUAGGCGGCCUUCUAAGUCAGACGUGAAAUCCCCCGGCUUAACCUGGGAACUGCGUCUGAUACUGGGAGGCUUGAGUAUGGAAGAGGGAUGUAGAAUUCCAGGUGUAGCGGUGAAAUGCGUAGAUAUCUGGAGGAAUACCGGUGGCGAAGGCGGCAUCCUGGACCAUAACUGACGCUGAGGCGCGAAAGCUAGGGGAGCAAACGGG